AACAAACUGAAGCAACCGACUAAAGCCAUGCUGUUGGCAAAAACAUCUUUCCAAAUAUAACUUUUGGUUUAUAUUAUGAGUCUGAAGAAGAGAACGAAAACAAGCCAUGGCCGGAAGCUUGGUGUUGCCUGCUGUGCAGCUUGACGGCGGAGCAGUCCAGCGGGUCGCGGAGCGCUCACACGCCACGGGCCGGAUCCGCAGCUGGGCGAGCCGUUGGACGGUACCGGGGACGGUCUGAAUGCCGUGCCAGAGGACAAACCCACAAACUGACUCUUUCACUUACUCGCCAAUCAGUCAGGCCAGUCAAUCCCCAAGGCCAUCAAGACACCCAACA